CGCCGUGGCUCAGGCACACGCGGGCGCCCCGGGGCUGCGCCGCCGCGCCGCAGAAGGUGAAGGAACAGCGCGAGGCGCGCAGCCGCUGCACCGUGGUGCGCACGAGGGCGGCCGGCCCGCGCCCCCAGCGCGCCCACAGCAAAGGAAACCCACUUUUGGAACCUCAGAUUUCUAGAAGACCUAAGAAAUCCUCCUCACUGCAGAUUGAAAAGGAGACAGAAACCAAGAAGAAAUAACCGGGCUCGUAUGCAAGGGCCAGGGACUGAACCCACACCACAGCUGUGACCCGAACCACAACAGUGACAUCUGAUCCUCUAACUGCUAGGCUACCAGGGAACUCCCCACAGGUGAGUCUUUGCCCUCAGCUCUCCUCCUUACCUCUGCCUGGAUGGUUCCACUUGCCCUCCCGGUUUUAGUGGCCAACUGGCCACAAUGCACAGGUCCUCUGGCCUCUCCCAGGCUCCCAAGCCACAAUCACUGCUUCUACAUUUCUGUUUGGAUGGGCUUUUGGUAUCUCAGGAGCAACAUGAAUAAAGCCAAAUGCAAUGUUCUCCCACAAA